AGACAAAUCAGGUGGUAUUUUCUUGCCAACGUGCUGGUAAGUGAUAAUUCGAGUAGAUGCAAAUCAUAUGGUGCCUCGCCUAUUCAACUUUUUCAUGUGAUGGCCUGAUAGGUUGCAUAUAGAAUUAGCCAGACUCAAGUUGAUACAUUCUCAUGAGCUGACUUCUACACAAAAGAUAGUUAUACUACAUGCUACCCCUACCAUUAUGAAACAAGUUCCCAUUUGACUUUUGAGGUGAUAGAUUCGCUAAAGACAGCCUCAUGCUUAAUAUAGAGAAAUUCCAUGAACGAAUUCCAUCUAUACCUUCUGAGCUAAAAAGAUGUUCCAAAUAAAUUUAAGGAGAUCUACAAUUUUGCAUUCGCCUGAGCAAAGGAGAGUUUACAUCAGUUCUCCGGUUGAUGUUGUAGUGAUGAAGUAUGCUACAAGAAUGGAGGGCCACUUUCAACUCAUCUAACGUUUUAUGUGUGCCUGUUUGAUAUAAAGCACAACCCAUUUCAUUCAUUAAUAUAACUUUGUAUUUUAUUUUUUUAUACACUUUAGAUUUAUAUAAUUUAAAAUGAUUUCAAAGGUA